GGGCCCGCACAAGCGGUGGAGCAUGUGGUUUAAUUCGAUGAUACGCGAGGAACCUUACCAGGGCUUAAAUGCAUAAUGACAGGGGUAGAGAUACCCUUUUCUUCGGACAUUUUGCAAGGUGCUGCAUGGUUGUCGUCAGCUCGUGCCGUGAGGUGUCAGGUUAAGUCCUAUAACGAGCGCAACCCCUGUGGUUAGUUGCCAGCGAGUAAUGUCGGGAACUCUAGCCAGACUGCCGGUGCAAACCGCGAGGAAGGUGGGGAUGACGUCAAAUCAUCACGGCCCUUACGCCCUGGGCCACACACGUGCUACAAUGGCAGGUACAGCAAGCAGCCACUCCGCGAGGAGGAGCGAAUCUCAAAAAGCCUAUCGUAGUCCAGAUUGGAGUCUGCAACUCGACUCCAUGAAGUAGGAAUCGCUAGUAAUCG
rnacentral:rRNA from 1 species